GCAGUGAUUUCGGUGGUGUGGUAACACUGACAUUUGCACAAAACCACCAUUUCUUGCCCGAGGGAGAAAAAGCGACUCGAUGGAGCUUCAUCUCUAAAAAAUUAUGGAGGAUUUCUCGAUUAGAAUGUGGCUUUGGGUGGGAUCAGCCGUUUUCCUGAUGGGACUGCUGCAGGAAGCGACGCCAGGACCGGCCUGCAGGAUCAGCGAGUUUCCGUGCCGGAACGGCAGGUGCGUCAAACUCAACGCAUACUGCGAUGGCAGCGACGACUGUGGCGACCUCUCCGACGAACCCCUCUACUGCACAGUGUGCAACCGGACUUACUACGGGGACGUCGGUAAAACAUACGACCUGCGCGUCAUUAAGUCCUCGGAGACGAGACUGCCCUUCCUUUGCCAUCUCACGUUCACCGCCAACGGCCAGAGUCACGGAGAUAUAGUCCAGCUGAUCUUCGACGAGUUCAAGGUGGGUCGCUACGAGGCCUCCGCCCUCGACGGCUGCCCCGACGGCUACAUGCAACUGAGCGAAUUGGGGCGUCCCUUUACGGGCGGUUCCUGGUGUGGCACCUCCUCCGGCCCCGCCGCCUACUACAGCGAAACAUCCACUGUAACCGUCACCGUUAAACUCUUCGGCUCCCCCCACAUCCCCUUCAAAUUCCAAUUGCGUUACCGUUUCGUGUCCCGUCGCGAAGCCGUCGUCCGGUUUGGUUCUCCGGCAGCCCCCCUCGAACGGGGCCAAGUCGCCCCCGGGACCUACUGCACCCGUCAAUUCGAAGAGUGUUACCGCAAACCCUGUCGUUUGCAGUCCCCCAACUACCCUGGAAUGUACCCCCGCAACGUCUCCUGUUACUGGAGUUUGAGACAAAAGUUUGUCCCCACUUGCAAACAUGCAAUGAUCGCAGUUCGACAAGAAGCCGCCCAUAAAAUGCACAUGAAACGUUCAAUCAACGUGGCUGGGUUAAACAAAACAGCGAGGGCUUUGAGGGCGUGGCGGGACUGUACGGGGGAACGCGACCACUUGAUUUUUUACGAUGGGGGCUCAACGAAUGACCCUGUCUUGGCCAAAUACUGUGGAGGAGAUUGGUUACCAAGAGUGGUGUCACGUGGUCCUGAAAUGCUCGUCGCGUUUCACUCCUCCCCUUUCAGCAUCCCACUACACUCCCCUCCAUCGCAGUCCCCUCUCCGCGGAUUUGAACUUGACGUUGAUGUGAUUUUUGCCGAUUCGGAUUCACUCGACUAUUCUCGACAAAGCCGAUGCGAAUUUGACGUAAACGCGACGAGUCCCGACAGUGACGAGAUUUGGACAGGGCGUGGCCGAAAAGGACGAAUCGUGAGUCCCCGACACUCCCUCCCACCCAAUACCACUUGCACUUAUAAAUUUCAAGGCUAUCAGCAUGACUUGGUCUGGAUUAGUUUCGUGUCGUACAGUCAGAGAGCGCUUCUUGUCGGUGAAAGUGCGCACGCGUUACUUAGCAAUAGUAGUCUAGGAGGUGGGUGUUCGACACGCCUCCGAAUUUGGGACGGGGCUCUCUUAUUGGAGGAUAAGUGCGACGAACCGCCCCGUUUGUGUGACCAUAGUGCGUUAACUAAUGCUACGAGAGUGACACGUCCGUGUACAUUGGAAGAGAGUUAUCUGUCGACGGGGAGGAGUCUUGUCUUGCAACACCAUACUGAAGAUGGCACCGCCCUCCACCCCGCCUCGUUUCGAUUGAAAUACGAAUUUAUCGAUACCAGGAUGGGAGGGGAGCCUUGGCCGGGAAAAGAAUCAGAGAUUUGUCAUAGAAUUUUCCGAAAAAGUCAUUUAGGGGAGUUGACUGGACCAAGAAAUGUGUUUUUGUACGGCAGAGGCGGGGCUAAAGACCUACACUGUGUUUACCGAUUCGAGGCGGAUCCUGGCGAACGCGUUCGUUUGAUUGUAAAUAACGCGAGUUUUGGGUUAACCCCCAAUUGUGAAACUGUGAUUGAUCCCCAUAGUGGACGUCCGGUGUGCGAACACUACUCUAGUAGUCACAUGACCGAAUUAAGCGUGUGGGAACUCCCCUGGAAAGACGUCCGAAUGCCUCGCGGGUGUCUUUGUGAUAACUCGUCCUUGAGUAGCAAACCACUAGUGUUCUUAUCAGCGUCAAAAACCCUCGAAUUGCAUUUCACUGCCAAAGACAUGAACAUAACCGAAGAUUUCACCAUUCUCCACUUCCAUGCAACUUUCGAAAUAGUCAAAAUGCCCGACUGUCCCCGCAAACAACGAGUACGCGGAUACGGAGGCGACGUCCAAUUCAACACGCCUCCAAUCGACCGCAAUGAGAUGCUUUGCGUGGGCAUGCCGUGGCUCAUCGAAGCGCGCCACAACCGUUCUUUAUUCCUGUUAAGUUGGGGGGCGUUUCUUCCACUCAAGCCCCGCCUCGAGGAACCCACCCGCUGUCCCACCUCCAACCGCGUAUUGGUCUACUCCGGCCGGCCCCCGAAACUCGUCCGUGCGGUUUGUCCCGCUGAACCUGGGGCCCGCCCACUCGCCGUCCACGUGUUCAGCGAGGAAUGGUGGGGCGAAGGCCUAGCCACAAUCCACCAACGCCCUCCAAACUUCAUGAUAGAGUGGGUGGGUUCCGAACCGGGAAUCUCAGCUUUCAGUUGGUUGGAGAUUUCAAGAUCGAGAUCAUCGCUGUUGCAACAACUCCAAGUCCCGGUGAACGUCUCAGCGAACGAGACCGACUUCGAGUGCCCCCACAAGUGCCCCGAAUUGGAUGCUUGUAUCAGUGCGAGUUUGUGGUGCGACGGGAAGGAUCACUGUCCGUCGGGGUGGGACGAGUCGGAGGCACAGUGCGGGGUUGGGAGUAAGUUGCUAACGACGCUCCCGGGGGCGGCGUUGGCGGCGGCAGCAGCUGUUAUCUCCUCCGUUGCGCUUUUGGUCUGUCUGACUUUACACAGAUUGAGGGCUAGACGCAGGAGGAGGUUAGCCAAGAAGAAGCUUCUCACUGGGCCGAGGUUGUUGGAUAACAGUUUGAAUUCUUGACACAAGGCUCCGCCCGUCGAGUAUAUCCACGUCGAUCGGGAAACGACCGUAUGAGGUCGACUCUUUGUCGGUUCGUCCGUCCCUAUGCUCACUUAUUAUCUACCGGUGCCUUUCAGUGAUUCCAAGAGGGUCUUAAAUCUCGAUUAAGUUGAAAAAUUCCAACCCCGAUUAAGAGAAAUGAGGGAAAAUAUUUCCACUCCGUGAAAGAGGAAUCAUUUCCCUUGUCAAAGCUUUGUGUUCAAAGCCCUCGCGUGGCCUUUGUGCCCCAUUCGGAGCCUUCGCCGCCCCCCAGUGAGUGAAUGCAGAGAAGACAAUCGCAUAUAAAAAUCGCAAAUAAACCCUCAAACAGGUCGUUCUUAAAAAAUCUCGUGCCAAAAUUUGUGUGUCCUAGUGCGAGACUAGUGUUCUAAUUAAAAAAACCUAGUUCCGAACUUAGUUGACUCAAGCCGUUUUUACCAAGGGUGUGAUUUCUUGUGAUAAUUAUUGAAGAGUUGGUUUAGAAGUUUUCAUGGAAGAUUCUUAUUUAUUGCUUAAUUAAUUUCAUCGCUCCCCAGACGUGAUUAAUUGAAAGUACACAAGAUUUGCUGAUAAUCUAAUCCGCCUCAAUUAUAACACUAUUGAUUUUUUUUUUAGUAAAUUAAUUUAAAACAAAUUUUGCCCUCAAUUAUAACACUAUUGAUUUUUUUUUUAGUAAAUUAAUUUAAAACAAAUUUUGCCUCAAGUGCAAGCGAGAUGGAACGAUUGCUUGAAUAUGCAGUAGGCGCGAGAUGAAAUAAUUUACAUUCAUGGCAACCUUGAUGUGAUCUACACCACAACACGAAUUUUUCCCUGUCUCGUGAUAAAAAAACAAACACAAACUUAUGAUAGACCGAGACUUCCACUCUGCGUUAUUAAAAUUUUAAACAGCGUUGCCGGGGUAAUAAAUACUUUCCUAAUUACCAUGGAAAUUCUUCGAACAAAACGACUCCACUUAAUUAACAUCACCCUUAAAAAUAUUUUCUUUGCUUGCUUCAAUAUGGCGGCUAUUACUCAUCCCGCUAUCGCGGCAGGCUUUGCCCGGCCAUAAAUAUUUGAUAACAGUGAAAAGUAGAGAGUUGUAACGUUGUUACUUUGUCACUGGACGAUACUUUUAAUCCGGGUGAAAAAUUCCGGGUAUUAAAUACGGGAUUUGAGUGGCGCCACUAAGAAAAUAGAUUCGAAAAUUUGACAUUUGAGGUUGUUGCCCCCGCUGCCAACCCUGCAAGACAAAAUACACUAGAUUCGCCAUCGGGUGUUUAAAUUAUUGAUGAGUGGAUUACUCCGGCGCUGAUUUCGUUAAAGUUUCUGUCAAAAGUGUUGUGGUUUGCUAAACUUUCUAAUGAAAUUAGUAUUUUUCGCAUCUCUCCCUCCAAACUUGAAUCAAACUUCUGAUUUUAAAGUGAAAUUAAAUUCCAGAGGGAAAUUAUUUUAAAACCAUUAAAAUGGAAUAUUUUAACCAUGUUUGAUGUUUACGUACAUUUAGAUUUACGUCUCGGUUGGCUGUAAACUCCAAAGUUUUCCGAUAAUUACACCACUAGCAAAGUUGUCUAGUUUCCGACAUCUGUCAUCAGGCGGUUUGCUUUUUCGCUCUAGUUGAGUAAAUACUUUUGUCCUUGAAAUGCGAUAAAUAUCGCUUCAAUUAAGCCCAAAACCGGGGUGAUUGAUAGCGCAGUCUGUUUCGAACGUUGCGAAUUGUUAACUCAAUCGUCUGCGAAACGUCAGACAAGCAAAAAUUUAUUCUGUUUACACUUGUUUUGCUAUAAUUAUGAACGGAGGAAUUUUUCACGCUCGAAUGGCCAGCGCUUUAUUCAAUUUGGACGAACGUAAAAUUAUCGGAAUUUUGUGUCAUGCCAUCGUAAAAAAUAAGAUCGAGGCGAUUUGGAAAAACCGUUUCAAGGUUUAAUAGACGCUUUAUCACAAGAUUGGCGUUUUUACGACCGAUGGUUUCAAAAUUCAAAAGAAAAACGGGACAAAGUCGAGCCAUGAAGUGGAAAUGCGACGAGCUUUCCAAUUUUCUCUAUAACAAAAAACAUUUUAUAAAGCGACUAAUUUUUUCUGAUAGUGACAUAAUUGGAUUUUUAAUCUGAAACAACAGAUGCGUCAGAUAAAAGGCAAAUUUAAUUCAUUCCACUCGAAAUUAAACAAAAUUAAUUAUUAAUUGAAACGCAUUGGGAACCGGUUAAAUGGGUUUAGUUUUAAUAAAAUGCACAAAUAAAAAAUCUCCUACUCGAAACAUGGCCAAAAUGUCCAAAAAUUUAUGACAUUUUCAUGUGAAAUUGAAUUUCAUACAUAUACAGGGAUGUCCGAAAAAAACGUUGAAAAAUUUUGGGGGAUGCUUUCCUAUGUCAAAAUAAGAAAAAAGCUCUUAUGGACAUAUGUCCGAAAAUGAUUCCUUGGGGAACUAGAAAAGCAACCCAUGCAGUGAGUUU